rnacentral:tRNA from 3 species
GGUCUAGUGGUGUAAGGGUAGCAUGAGCCCCUCCUAAGGGUUCGAUUCGGGUUCGAAUCCCGGCUGGAUCA